rnacentral:miRNA from 1 species
GUCUUUGCAUGACUUGCAACAAGGCUUGAAUUUCAUCGUUGGACUGGCCUUUCGUUGUUCGGUUUUGUGAACAAGCUUUACUCGCAAUAUUUCCAUAUUUUGAUUAAAGCUUGUUCACAAAAACCAAUGAAAGAAAGCCCAGUCCAACGAUGAAAUUCAAGCCUUAUUGCAAGUCAUGAAGUC